AGAGUUUGAUCCUGGCUCAGGAUGAACGCUGGCGGCGUGCCUAAUACAUGCAAGUAGAACGCUGAAGGAAGGGGCUUGCUCUUUCUGGAUGAGUUGCGAACGGGUGAGUAACGCGUAGGUAACCUGCCUCUUAGCGGGGGAUAACUAUUGGAAACGAUAGCUAAUACCGCAUAACAGUAGAUAUUGCAUGAUAUCUGCUUGAAAGGUGCAAUUGCAUCACUAAGAGAUGGACCUGCGUUGUAUUAGCUAGUUGGUGAGGUAACGGCUCACCAAGGCGACGAUACAUAGCCGACCUGAGAGGGUGAUCGGCCACACUGGGACUGAGACACGGCCCAGACUCCUACGGGAGGCAGCAGUAGGGAAUCUUCGGCAAUGGGGGGAACCCUGACCGAGCAACGCCGCGUGAGUGAAGAAGGUUUUCGGAUCGUAAAGCUCUGUUGUAAGAGAAGAACGAGUGUGAGAGUGGAAAGUUCACACUGUGACGGUAUCUUACCAGAAAGGGACGGCUAACUACGUGCCAGCAGCCGCGGUAAU
rnacentral:rRNA from 1 species